CGCUCUUUGUAUAAAUAAAGAGUCGUACCUGCCCAGUGAGAUAAUUAAACGGCCGCAGUACCCUGACUGUGCUAAGGUAGCAUAAUAAUUUGCCUUUUAAUUGGUGGCUUGUAUGAAUGGUUUGACGAAAACAUAGCUGUCUCUAAUAUAUUAUUUAUAAUUUAUCUUUUAGGUUAAAAUUCCUAAAUCUAAUUAAGGGACGAGAAGACCCUAUUGAAUUUUAAAAGAAUGCAUAAAUAAAAGUUAUAUUUUUAAAAUUGUUGAUUUAUGUAAAAUUUUGGUUGGGGCAACCAAGGAACAAAAAAAGCUUCUUUAUUACUAGUAAAAUUACUUUUUUUGAUCCAAUAAAUGUUGAUAGUGGGAAUUAAUUACCAUAGGGAUAACAGCGUAAUUUUUUUUGAGAGAUCUAAUCGAAAAAUAAAGCUUGCGACCUCGAUGUUGGAUUAGGAUAUUUCUGAAGGUUGCAGAAGCUUUUAAGAUUGGUCUGUUCGACCAUUAAAAUCCU
rnacentral:rRNA from 1 species